CGGAUCGGAGUCUGCAACCCGACUCCGUGAAGCUGGAUUCGCUAGUAAUCGCGCAUCAGCCAUGGCGCGGCGAAUACGUUCCCGGGCCUUGUACACACCGCCCGUCAAGCCAUGGGAGCCGGGAGUGCCUGAAGUCCGUGACCGCGAGGAGCGGCCUAGGGUAAGACCGGUGACUGGGGCUAAGUCGUAACAAGGUAGC
rnacentral:rRNA from 1 species